AUUGAACGCUGGCGGCAGGCCUAACACAUGCAAGUCGAGCGCGCGGCGGGCGGGUGAGUAAUGUCUGGGAAACUGCCUGAUGGAGGGGGAUAACUCCUGGAAACGGUAUCUCAUACCGCAUACGAUCAGAUGUGCCCAGAUGGGAUUAGAUAGUAGGUGGGGUAACGGAUCACCUAGGCGACGAUCCCUAGCUGGUCUGAGAGGAUGACCAGCCACACUGGAACUGAGACACGGUCCAGACUCCUACGGGAGGCAGCAGUGGGGAAUAUUGCACAAUGGGCGCAAGCCUGAUGCAGCCAUGCCGCGUGUAUGAAGAAGGCCUUCGGGUUGUAAAGUACUUUCAGCGGGGAGGCGUUACCCGCAGAAGAAGCACCGGCUAACUCCGUGCCAGCCGCCGCGGUAAUAC
rnacentral:rRNA from 1 species